GAAAGAGAUGUGAUGACACAGAAAUGCUGUGUUGCUGCUUUUGAAGAUGGAGGAAGGGGCCACAAAGGCAUGUGGGCGGCCUCUAGAAGCUGGAAAAGUCAAGGAAACAGAUUCUCCCCCAGAACCUCCAAAAGGAACAUGGCCCAGCUGACCGCUUGAUUUUAGACCCAUGUUGGACUUCAAACCAACAGAACAGGAGCAUCAGUCAGGUGGAUUCUGCCAGGACUGGCCUGGUGGCUCAGAGGAAAACUGAGGCCUGGACAGUGGAGGAAUGGGGCCCUGGGCCAAAUUGUCGUAUGCGGUCAUGUCACUUGGCUGGGGCCUGAGGAAUCCCUGGGGAGCCGGCUGCUGGCGGCUCUCAGCUCUACUGAAUGGACGGGAUCUUUGCAGAUACGCCCAGUGUUGCCAUGGCAGCCCUGCAAUUAC